GGGUUCGUAGCUCAGUGGUUUGUAAGCGCUUCAGAGCAAUCGACUGCAGAUCGAUAGGUCGCGUGUUCGACUCACGCCGGGCCCU